ACGGACCUUUCGGGGUGAGUGGCGGACGGGUGAGUAACGCGUAGGUAUCUAUCCAUGGGUGGGGGAUAACACUGGGAAACUGGUGCUAAUACCGCAUGACACCUGAGGGUCAAAGGCGCAAGUCGCCUGUGGAGGAGCCUGCGUUCGAUUAGCUAGUUGGUGGGGUAAAGGCCUACCAAGGCGAUGAUCGAUAGCUGGUUUGAGAGGAUGAUCAGCCACACUGGGACUGAGACACGGCCCAG
rnacentral:rRNA from 1 species